GGUGCAAUGAUGAGAUGGAAACCCAGUGUUUUUGGCCAGUGGACAUAACCAUUAGGUUUUGCCGCGAGCCUGUUUUAUAACGAAAUAUCUCCUUCCACUGAACACU
rfam:Cicer arietinum chromosome Ca2, whole genome shotgun sequence.